AAUGAACGCUGGCGGCAGGCCUAAAACAUGCAAGUCGAACGCUGUAGCAAUACAGAGUGGCGCACGGGUGAGUAACAUGUGGGAAUAUGCCUUUUGGUACGGAACAACGUUUGGAAACGAACGCUAAUGCCGUAUGGUCCCUUCGGGGUAAAGAUUUAUCGCCAAAAGAUUAGCCCGCACUGGAUUAGCUAGUUGGUAGGGUAAUGGCCUACCAAGGCGACGAUCCAUAGCUGGCUGAGAGGACGAUCAGCCACACUGGGACUGAGACACGGCCCAGACUCCUACGGGAGGCAGCAGUUAGGAAUAUUGGACAAUGGGCGCAAGCCUGAUCCAGCCAUGCCGCGUGAGUGAUGAAGGCCUUCGGUUG
rnacentral:rRNA from 1 species